GAUGAACGCUGGCGGCAUGCCUAAUACAUGCAAGUCGAGCGAACAGACGGGGCGCUUGCUCCUCUGCCGCUAGCGGCGGACGGGUGAGUCACACGUAGCUAACCUACAUAUAAGGCUGGCGUCACUUCAGGAGCCCUGAUCUCACACCGGAUCAUAUGUUGAACCGCAUGGUUCAUUAGUGCACGACCGUUUUGCUGUCCCUUAUUCGUGGUACCUAGCCGCAUUAGCUAGUUGGUAAGGUAACGGCUUACCAAGGCAACGAUGCGUAGCCGACCUGAGAGGAUGAUCAGUCACACUGGAACUGAGACACGGUCCAGACUCCUACGGGAGGCAGCAGUAGGGAAUCUUCGGCAAUGGGCGAAAGCCUGACGGAGCAACGCCGCGUGAGUGAUGAAGGUCUUCGGAUUGUAAAACUCUGUUAGUAGGGAAGAAGAAAAGUGUAAGUAACUAUGCAUGUCUUGACGGUACCUAAACAGAAAGCCACGGCUAACUACGUG
rnacentral:rRNA from 1 species